rnacentral:rRNA from 1 species
GAUGAACGCUGGCGGCGUGCCUAAUACAUGCAAGUAGAACGCUGAAGGAGGAGCUUGCUCUUCUGGAUGAGUUGCGAACGGGUGAGUAACGCGUAGGUAACCUGCCUCGUAGCGGGGGAUAACUAUUGGAAACGAUAGCUAAUACCGCAUGACAACAGUUAUUGCAUGAUAACUGUUUAAAAGGGGCAACUGCUCCACUACCAGAUGGACCUGCGUUGUAUUAGCUAGUUGGUGAGGUAACGGCUCAACAAGGCGACGAUACAUAGCCGACCUGGGAGGGUGAUCGGCCCAAAUGGGACUGAGACCCCGCCCAGACUCCUACGGGAGGCAGCAGUAGGGAAUUCUCGGCAAUUGACGGAAGUCUGACCGAGCAACGCCGCGGGAGUGAAGAAGGUUUUCGGAUCCGAAAGCUCUGUUGUAAGGGAAGAACGAGUGUUAGAGUGGAAAGUUCACACUGUGACGGUACCUUACCAGAAAGAGACGGCUAACUACGUG